UUUUUUUCUUAGGUACUGUUUUUGGUGGAUCUAAUUGAUGAGGUUGCUAUUCAAAACCUCAAGUCAUAUAAGGAAAAGAAUUUUGUUGAUAUUAGCAAGGAAGACUUGGAUCUAGGUGAUAAGAAUGAAGAAAGGGAAAAGGAGAUGAAACAGGAAUUCGGCCAAACUUGUGACUGGAUUAAGAAACAUUUGGG